UUUUGUUUAUAUUGUAAAUUCUUGUGGCAUUUGUUAACAAUUGUUUUCAAAACCUUUAUUUUUCAUCAUCGGAAAGGGUGUUAGUAAGAGCUAAUUCAUUUUCUUUCCUUGGAAUUUGCUAAUGCAUUAACAAUACAAAACUCGAAUGAGUUUUGGAGAGUGUACAUCCUGAAAAGUUUAUUAUGUAUUUCAGUUAUGAUGUAUUAGUGAAUUUUAACAUGAAAAAUUAUGCUGUCUGUGGUCUGACCGUAAUUUGCGGGCUACUUAAGUCUAAUGCAUUGACAAUAUAAAGCUUGUUUGAGUUUUGAUUCUUCCUGAAAAAGUUCACCAUAUUUCAGUUAUGAUGUGUCAGUGAAUUUUAUUAUGAGAAAUUAUGUUGUCUGUGGUCCAGCCCUGAUUUGCAGGCUAUUUUUGUAAGUCAUGUCUACUCAAAUUUGAGGGUUCUGCUCAUUUUGGAUUUCACUGAUAAUAUUUUCAUCAUAAGUAUUUGAUCCUUUAUUUCUGAAAAAAUGUGAAGUGAAAUAAAUUCUUGAUUUGUAUUUGCAUGCAAAA
rnacentral:misc_RNA from 1 species